UUAAGCCUGAAAUCGGGUGGGAUUACCCGCUGAACUUAA
rnacentral:rRNA from 1 species